rnacentral:rRNA from 1 species
UGCCAGCCGCCGCGGUAAUACGUAGGGUGCCAACGUUGUUCGGAAUUACUGGGCGUAAAGCGUACGCAGGCGGUUUGUUAAGCGAGAUGUGAAAGCCCCGGGCUUAACCUGGGAACUGCAUUUCGAACUGGCAGGCUAGAGUGUGAUAGAGGGUGGUAGAAUUUCAGGUGUAGCGGUGAAAUGCGGAGAGAUCUGAAGGAAUACCGAUGGCGAAGGCAGCCACCUGGGUCAACACUGACGCUCAUGUACGAAAGCGUGGGUAGCAAACAGGAUUAGAUC